rnacentral:lncRNA from 12 species
AUGAGAGACACAGAGAGAGAGAGGCAGAGACCCAGGCAGAGGGAGAAGCAGGCUCCCUGCAGGGAGCCCGACGUGGGACUUGAUCCCAGGACCCCGGGGUCAUGGCCUGAGCCGAAGGCAGAUGCUCCACCGCUGAGCCUCCCGAUGGCCCCUGUUUCGGAUUUAGUGAUACCCAGAAAAGACAAAAUUGGAAAAGGAAUCCUGCUGCAAACACAGCCUGGCUGCGUCUCGGGGGUGAGAUACCACCAGGGCUUGGCCCCACCAAUGGGCAGCUCCGGCAACUUCGCCAAACACCGGAUGCGUGAGAUGCCUCAUGACAUGUGCUUCUCUCCUGCUCCCAGCUCUGCUGUGAAAACGACCACUUCCUCCCUGCGUCUUUCUUGCAAGUUGGCUGGAAACUAUCAUUACCCCCAUGCGAGGGGGAGCUGCACGGUGGCCUGGGCCCCCCAACUGUCACAACUGCAGAGAGUUGCAAGUAAGAGCGCUUUUGUACAAGCCUCUGACAACAAGAGGCCGGGUCUACAGGGAAACAAUCUUCCCAGGCGAAUGUGACCUUGAGGAACCACCCCACAGUUGAGACAUCUGUCUUUGUCCCCGUGGGAAGAAUUCUAACCAACACCCGGCAUGAACGUGUAUGCACAUUCCGUACUCCAGCCGAUCCCAAACCACAGCCUAGAAGGCGCACCCUGCAGGUGGCAUCGCCCUCUUUUAUAGCUGAGGAGACAGAGAGGAGAUUGUGCAAAAGUUGAGCCUCUGAGCACCUGCAAUUUGAGGUUUUGAGCUUGAAGUCUUUUCUUCCUUUUUCAAAAAUCCAACGAGCCUGUCUCCUUUCUCAUAGAAAUCCGCCUGGCUCAGGCGUCCGGUGGCCUUCCCACAGAGAAGUUGGGGACAAGGGAGGACACUGGACAGGUGAAGCCAGUCAUUGUGAUGGGAGGGGGGUGUCCCUGCUUGAAACAGACCGGUUGUGAUGGUGGGUGUUCUCCGUGCUGAAGACUUCAGUCAUAGUCUCAGUGGUGGCAAGGUCUUCUUAGAAUUGGCCAAUUGUGCUGGGGGGUAGGUCCUGUUAGAAAAAGCCCAUCAUGACUGGAGGAGGGUCCUGGCUAGAACAGACUAAUCUUGGUAACCAUUGCUCUUGGACCUCUGGCUCCAGACUGGCUGAUGAGAGAGGAGGGGAGAGCUGGCGAGUGGCUUCUAGGACAUGAUCUUGAGUCUUAAAAAAAAAAAAAAUGACUCAAGUAGCCAACAAGGUCACGUAGCACACUGCUAGACAUUUAUGAGGAAUGCUUAUGGUGCCUGAAACUGUGGUGGCCACCCUCCAAUCCUGAGGGCAUCACCUUGAGAACAAAGCUGGACCACGGGAGGACCAGUUGGAACGUGCACUCCAGGUCCUUGAUGAUGGCUUUGAACUGCUGUCCUGGCCACGCCCGGAAAUCUCCUACCUCAGGGAUUCUUGUGCGAAGCAAUAAGAUGCUCCUAUUGUUGUAGGUCAGGCUUGACUGGGCACAUCUGACUGGAACCAUUUCCACGUGAAGAGUUGUCAAAAUAAAUAACUAAAAUGCUACCA